rnacentral:rRNA from 1 species
UUGCCAGACUCCUACGGGAGGUAGCAGUGGGGAAUAUUGCACAAUGGGGGAAACCCUGAUGCAGCGACGCCGCGUGAGUGAAGAAGUAAUUCGUUCUGUAAAGCUCUAUCAGCAGGGAAGAAAAUGACGGUACCUGAGUAAGAAGCCCCGGCUAACUACGUGCCAGCAGCCGCGGUAAUACGUAGGGGGCAAGCGUUAUCCGGAUUUACUGGGUGUAAAGGGGGCGCAGACGGCGAUGCAAGCCAGGAGUGAAAGCCCGGGGCCCAACCCCGGGGCUGCAUUGGGAACUGCCAGGCUGGAGUGCCGGAGAGGCAGGCGGAAUUCCUAGUGUAGCGGUGAAAUGCGUAGAUAUUAGGAGGAACACCAGUGGCGAAGGCGGCCUGCUGGACGGUGACUGACGCUGAGGCUCGAAAGCGUGGGGAGCAAACAGGAUUAGAUACCCCCGUA